rnacentral:rRNA from 1 species
CGAGCACGCGCGUGUGGCAUAUCAAUAAGCGGAGGAAAAGAAACUAACAAGGAUUCCCCUAGUAACGGCGAGUGAAGCGGGAAGAGCUCAAAUUUGAAAUCUUCAAGGUUCUACCUUGACGAAUUGUAGUUUAAGGAAGUGUUUUCUGUCGUAGUUUUGGUAAAAGUUCUUUGGAAUAGGACAUCAUAGAGGGUGAGAAUCCCGUAUUUGACCAUUAUUUCCAACUUUGUGAUACACUUUCAAAGAGUCGGAUUGUUUGGGAAUGCAGUCCAAAAUGGGUGGUAAAUUUCAUCUAAAGCUAAAUAUUGGCGAGAGACCGAUAGCGAACAAGUACCGUGAGGGAAAGAUGAAAAGAACUUCGAAAAGAGAGUUAAACAGUACGUGAAAUUGUCAAAAGGGAAGCGUUUGACACCAGUGUUGUUUUUCCGAAAAUCAAUUACGAAUGUUUUGUUUUUGAGGAGUUAUGACUUCAUCGGCUUGCUCCUUUUCUUUAUGAAACUUUCUUAAUGCACUUUUCGGUUAACAAGUCAACAUCAAUUUCCUUUGUUGUAAAAGGGUAUGAGGAAGGUGGCUUUCUUUUCGGAGAAAGUGUUUAUAGCCUUGUGCCUCUGCAAUCGGAGAGAUUGAGGUCUGCAGCGUAGAUCCUUCGGGGUUAGAUACAUUUGUGCUAAGUUAUAGCUUUUCAUAGACAACUUGUUGACUAUGUUAGUCUUGUAGCUUACUCGCUGAUGCUAUUUUACCUACGCUUAGGAUGUUGAGCGCAUGUCUCUCUCU